AUGACAAGCAUGGUUCGGGCUUUAAAUUGCGAAUUUAUCUGGCAUCGUCUGGGGCGACCCAACCACCCAACCAGUCCAACGUCUCUCGUCUGUUUGCUUCUGUGUCUGCUGUAGCGCCGUUGUGCUGCGAACGUUUGUGGUUUUGCGACGAGAGUGAAACUCCCUGCUUUGAUUUCAAGACAUCAUAGUGCGCAGCCCCUAGGGGUGCCAUCCCAAGCCAUGGCAGGCCCCAGCAGAGUACUCCUGAAGAACACCACCAAGCUCAGUCUCAACGAGCGGUUCACUGCCUACCGGCAGCAGGCAGAGGCCCUGGGGGGUCUGGGAGCCCUGGGGGCCAUCAGUGCCAUUGGCCCCUUGGGCCCCAUGGGACGCCUGGCCGCCCUGGGGGCCCUGGAGCAACAACAGCAGCAGCACCAGCAGCGGCAGCAGGCGGCUUCUCUGCGCAACCUGCGACUCGCCCAGCAAAUGGCCACCCGCCCUAGCGUGCUGGCUGCCCUGCGUCUCAAAAAGUCUUCACCUCCUGUAACUGCCCAAAAGAGGAGGAGCCUGAAGCAGCGCCUGGGUCCCACGGGGAGCAUAAAGUCUCGGCUUGGCUUGCGGCUGGGCCCCGGCCCGACCAGCUGGCCCCUCGUCAGGGCGCGGCUGGGCAUGAGGCCCAUGGGGAGGCUGCCCAACAGGGGUCGAGGGAUGCAGAGGGGCUACCAGAGACAGCCCAGGAGUAACGGCAAUUUUAUGGGACAGUUUAGGCGAGAAGGGGAAGGCCGGCGCCAGCGUCGACGCGGUGGGGGCCGUCGCGGUGGGGCACAGCCGGACCGUCAGCAGCUGGACUGGCAGCUGGAGGCGUACAUGGCGCGCACCCGAGGUCACCUGGAUGCGGAGCUGGAGGCCUACAUGGCCCAGGCAGAGGCCUAGGUCCCAGCAUGACCAGGGCCAGGUCUCGGGGAGAGCCCACGAAGGCGGGGCUCACGCGACACGAGAGCCCCAGCUCCCCAGCCCAGGCCAUGCGGUCCCGCACAACAAGCUCCUCCCAGACGGGCUGGAGGAGCUGCUGCAGCAGCUGGAAGUGGGAGACACUUGCAGACGGCGCUUCUGGACAUGUGACCUGAAGAAGCGCGGUCUUAGAGAAGCACGACCUUGGCCAUGCAGGAUGCGACCUUGGCCUCGUCACUGGAGAUGUGGUUCGAGGCAUAUGACUAGUUGCGUUACUGACGGCGCAUGACUCGAGUAUCGUGCCACGCGAUUCAAGUAGUGCGACUCCAAACACGAGACCUUGGACACGACCUGCAACACAUGGCUUUGGCCACUCGAGAUUUGAGGUGCAAGAUUCGAGGCGCCGACUUGAAGCGCGCGACUGGAAGCACGUGGCUUACGGUGUGCAACUCAGGACAUGCAACUCACUGCGUGUGUCCCCACUGCUGGCAGCAGCUUCUUGGCCUCGGACUGCAGUCCCUCGAGGAGAUUGCGCCAGCCCGUGCGCUGCUCUUCUGCAAGCGUGGCAGAGGGGAACCCCUUCUCAUCCCAACUGAUUCCCUGGAAAAGAACCGGGUUCAGUGUUGUCUCACAAAUAAAUUUUAUCACAUCCCUCUGGAAGACCCAGGGACAUCAUUAGGACUUUGUGCCUUCGGGAAAUUCGGCAGUUGUAGCCGUUUUCUUUUGUUCCUUUUUUUUUUUUUUUUGACACAGGGAACCACUUUUUUUGUGAGAUAGCUUUGUGAAAGUUAUUAUUAGGCAAUGUGUGUGGAGUAAGCUUGUUCAUUCACCGUCAUGUUUAUUUAAGCAUCAAAGACACUUUAUGGGACAUAACGAAUAUGUAGGAAUGUGGAAAUAGAUUGUGAGGUGCUGAUACACACGCUGUAGUAAAGGCACAAAAAUAAAUAUAAGACAAUAAAUCCUCCAUCUGUGCGAAAAUGA